rnacentral:rRNA from 1 species
GACGAACGCUGGCGGCGUGCUUAACACAUGCAAGUCGAACGGAAAGGCCCUGCUUUUGUGGGGUGCUCGAGUGGCGAACGGGUGAGUAACACGUGAGUAACCUGCCCUUGACUUUGGGAUAACUUCAGGAAACUGGGGCUAAUACCGGAUAGGAGCUCCUGCUGCAUGGUGGGGGUUGGAAAGUUUCGGCGGUUGGGGAUGGACUCGCGGCUUAUCAGCUUGUUGGUGGGGUAGUGGCUUACCAAGGCUUUGACGGGUAGCCGGCCUGAGAGGGUAACCGGCCACACUGGGACUGAGAUACGGCCCAGACUCCUACGGGAGGCAGAGGUGGGGAAUAUUGCACAAUGGGCGGAAGCCUGAUGCAGCAACGCCGCGUGCGGGAUGACGGCCUUCGGGUUGUAAACCGCUUUCGCCUGUGACGAAGCGUGAGUGACGGUAAUGGGUAAAGAAGCACCGGCUAACUACGUG